rnacentral:rRNA from 1 species
AUUGAACGCUGGCGGCAUGCUUUACACAUGCAAGUCGAGCGGUAACAGGCCUUCGGGUGCUGACGAGUGGCGAACGGGUGAGUAAUGCAUCGGGACGUACCCAGAGGUGGGGGAUAACGCAGCGAAAGCUGUGCUAAUACCGCAUGUGAUCUGAGGAUGAAAGCGGGGGACCGAGCAGCAAUGUUUGGCCUCGCGCCUUUGGAGCGGCCGAUGUCGGAUUAGCUAGUUGGUGGGGUAAAGGCCUACCAAGGCGACGAUCCGUAGCUGGUCUGAGAGGACGACCAGCCACACUGGGACUGAGACACGGCCCAGACUCCUACGGGAGGCAGCAGUGGGGAAUUUUGGACAAUGGGCGAAAGCCUGAUCCAGCAAUGCCGCGUGCGGGAAGAAGGCCUUCGGGUUGUAAACCGCUUUUGGCAGGAACGAAACGGUGUCCGCUAAUACCGGGCGCUAAUGACGGUACCUGCAGAAUAAGCACCGGCUAACUACGUG